rnacentral:rRNA from 1 species
UGGGGAAUUUUGCACAAUGGGGGAAACCCUGAUGCAGCGACGCCGCGUGAUUUAGAAGGCCUUCGGGUUGUAAAAAUCUUUUCUAUGGGAAGAAAAUGACAGUACCAUAGGAAUAAGGACCGGCUAAUUACGUGCCAGCAGCCGCGGUAAUACGUAAGGUCCGAGCGUUGUCCGGAAUCAUUGGGCGUAAAGGGUACGUAGGCGGGUAAGCAAGUUAGAAGUGAAAUCCUGUAGCUCAACUACAGUAAGCUUUUAAAACUGCUCAUCUUGAGAUAUGGAAGGGAAAGUGGAAUUCCUAGUGUAGCGGUGAAAUGCGCAGAUAUUAGGAAGAACACCGGUGGCGAAGGCGGCCUUCUGGGCCAUAACUGACGCUGAGGCUCGAAAGCGUGGGGAGCGAACAGG